UGUAGUCAGAGUGCGCGUAGGAAGUUGUAUUGGCGUUACCUAUAAAACAAGACAUGCAUGCUCAGAGAGAACACACAUGAGAAGCUGUGACAGGAAGGAGAACGCAUCAUGAAGCGUUCCACUUCCACUUCAACUCCAUCUUCGUCCUUGUUGCUCUUGACGGAAGCCAUGAGCCAACGAGUCCUCCGCCGCCGGUGCCAGGUCCCCAGAUGUCUCCGUCUCCAGUUCCAAUGCCUCCGGUCCAUCCUCCGCCGCCACCGCCGCCCAUGCCGGAGAUGUCAGCACUGGCGCCGCACCGCAAGACCCUGCAGCAAGCUGUCAGGGACGCCAUUUAAUUAUGCAUGAAACAGUGCUGCUCAUAUAUUAUUUUCGUCUAUGUAUGAUCUAUCAUGGUCCUAAGUAAUUGAGACGAUAAAUAAUGAUAUUAGCGUACAUAUGUACUCUCUUCAUUUUUUUUACUUCACGUAUAAAAUUUGGUCAAAGUCAAACUAUACAAAGUUUGACCAAAUUUAUAUAAAAGAAUUAUGAAUAUCUGCAAUACUAAAA
rnacentral:rRNA from 1 species